AGAGUUUGAUCCUGGCUCAGGACGAACGCUGGCGGCGUGCCUAACACAUGCAAGUCGAGCGGGUUAUGAGAAGAAGCUUGCUUUAACUUAUGACAAGUGGCGGACGGGUGAGUAACACGUGAGAACCUGUCAGAUGCAGGGGGACAACAGAUGGAAACGUCUGCUAAUACUCCAUAAGCCGGAAGGUAAAGGGUCAGCCGGCAUCUGAGGGGCUCGCGUUCCAUCAGCUAGUCGGGGAGGUAACGGCUCACUGAGGCAAAGACGGAUAGCCGGACUGAGAGGUUGGCCGGCCACACUGGAACUGAGACACGGUCCAGACUCCUACGGGAGGCAGCAGUGGGGAAUAUUGGGCAAUGGGGGCAACCCUGACCCAGCGACGCCGCGUGAGUGAAGAAAUCCCUCGGGAUGUAAAGCUCUGUUGUGUGGGAAGAUAGAAGACGGUACCACACGAGGAAGCCACGGCAAACUACGUGCCAGCAGCCGCGGUAAUACGUAGGUGGCGAGCGUUGUUCGGAAUUACUGGGCGUAAAGCACACGCAGGCGGAAGUGUAAGUCUGCUGACAAAGGCGGCGGCUCAACUGCCGUAUUUCAGCAGAUACUGCGCGUCUUGAGUAUGUGAGAGGAAAGCGGAAUCCCCGGUGUAGCGGUGAAAUGCGUAGAUAUCGGGAGAAACACCGGUGGCGAAGGCGGCUUUCUGGCACAAAACUGACGCUCAUGUGCGAAAGCCAGGGCAGCGAACGGGAUUAGAUACCCCGGUAGUCCUGGCCGUAAACGAUGGAUACUAGGUGUGGGGCGAGCAGUCGUUCCGUGCCGCAGUUAACGCGAUAAGUAUCCCGCCUGGGGACUACGGCCGCAAGGCUGAAACUCAAAGGAAUUGACGGGGGCCCGCACAAGCGGUGGAGCACGUGGUUUAAUUCGAUGCAAACCGAAGAACCUUACCUGGGUUUGACAUACAAGUGGUAUUGAAGCGAGAGUGGAUAGACCCCUGCUUGCAGGGGAACUUGAACAGGUGCUGCAUGGCUGUCGUCAGCUCGUGUCGUGAGAUGUUGGGUCAAGUCCCGCAACGAGCGCAACCCCUAUGGUCAGUUGCUACCAGGUCGAGCUGAGCACUCUGACAAGACUGCCGCCGACAAGGCGGAGGAAGGUGGGGAUGACGUCAAGUCAUCAUGGCCUAUAUGCCCAGGGCGACACACGUGCUACAAUGGUCGGCACAAAAGGCAGCUUGCUCGCGAGAGUUGGCCAAUCCUGAAAAGCCGGUCCCAGUUCGGAUUGCAGCCUGCAACUCGGCUGCAUGAAGCCGGAAUCGCUAGUAAUCGCAGAUCAGCCAAGCUGCGGUGAAUACGUAACCGGGCCUUGUACACACCGCCCGUCA
rnacentral:rRNA from 1 species